rnacentral:rRNA from 1 species
UACAGAGGUCCCAAGCGUUGUUCGGAUUCACUGGGCGUAAAGCGUGCGUAGGCGGUCGGGUAAGUCUGAUGUGAAAUCUCCGGGCUUAACCCGGAAAGGUCAACCGAUACUGCGGGGCUAGAGUGCAGAAGGGGCAACUGGAAUUCUCGGUGUAGCGGUGAAAUGCGUAGAUAUCGAGAGGAACACCUGCGGCGAAGGCGGGUUGCUGGGCUGACACUGACGCUGAUGCGCGAAAGCUAGGGGAGCGAACGGG